rnacentral:rRNA from 1 species
UAAUACGGGGGGGGCAAGCGUUGUUCGGAUUUACUGGGCGUAAAGGGCUCGUAGGCGGCCAUUUAAGUCGGUUGUGAAAUCCCUCGGCUCAACCGGGGAACUGCGACCGAUACUGAGUGGCUUGAAGCUGGGAGAGGGAUGCGGAAUUCCAGGUGUAGCGGUGAAAUGCGUAGAUAUCUGGAGGAACAUCGGUGGCGAAGGCGGCAUCCUGGACCGGUCUUGACGCUGAGGAGCGAAAGCUAAGGUAGCAAACGGGAUUAGAUACCCCGGUAGUCUUAGCUGUAAACGAUGAAUGCUUGGUGUGGCGGGUAUCGAUCCCUGCCGUGCCGUAGCUAACGCGUUAAGCAUUCCGCCUGGGGAGUACGGUCGCAAGGCUG